rnacentral:rRNA from 1 species
UACGUAGGCAGCGAGCGUUGUUCGGAGUUACUGGGCGUAAAGGGUGUGUAGGCGGUUCUUUAAGUUUGGUGUGAAAUCUCCCGGCUCAACCGGGAGGGUGCGUCGAAUACUGAGGGACUAGAGUGCGGGAGAGGAAAGUGGAAUUCCUGGUGUAGCGGUGAAAUGUGUAGAGAUCGGGAGGAACACCGGUGGCGAAGGCGGGUCUCUGGGCAUCUCCUGACGCUGAGGCGCGAAAGCGUGGGGAGCAAACGGG